rnacentral:snoRNA from 1 species
CUGGGAAUUAUCAUCACGUGCAUGCCAACCCAAGAUGUAUGUGGUAAACGAAUCCCAAACAUUGAAUUAGACGUCUGCAGAAUGGCCAGUGAUUAUUAGUUUGCUGGCUAAUUUUGAUGAUUUCUAACACCU